rnacentral:lncRNA from 1 species
CUGACAUGGAUGGCGCUUGUCAUUGUAGGCCAAAUUGUCGUGUUCAUUUUGAUGUUCCUUGCUAUGAUUUUUAUUCAUGCCUACUUUGCAAUUGGUAUGGUUUUGUUUGGCUUAUAUACUGCAUUUAAUAUAUAUUGUUACGGCUGUGUGUACUCGCAAUACAAGGUUCUGAAUGAAAUGUCUUAUAUAGAUUUUCAAAUGGAAGAAAAAGCUUAGAAUAUUUUAAAAGAACGAAGUUAUUAAUUUCCUAUUUUCUAAUAUAUUUUUAAGUUUUUCGAUAUAAUCUAUUGUAAUGAAUGUAUACUUUAUAAUAAACAUUAUAUCGAACUGAUGAAAAAUAAUUACAGUAUAUGAAGUCAGAAUUUGUUUUAUUUUAGAAGAAUGUAAUAUAUCGCGUAUUUUUUUUGUGUGUUAUACACUUUGGC